ACCUGCAGGCUGUUGGGCGGGGCUGGAUCUGGGCACUAAUGAGCUGGAGGGAGGCUCCCACCUGGUCCCACCUCUGCCGCACUGAUGCCUGGGUGGAUGCACUCCCCAGUAUGGCUGCCACGAGCCCCUGGCCCCAAGGAGAGCCAGGCAGCCGCCGUUCUGCUUCUCAGAGAGACUCUCCAAGACCAGCAGCUCUCCCAAUUUAGCACACAGAACGCAGCUCCCAACAGAAAACAACUCCCCAGUGAAGUCUGAGUUUCCAUGGUUGGUUGCCGAAGCUCUGGAUGUGAACAAAGCUAAAAAGCCACACUCCCAUAGUUAGAGAAAAAAAUACAUCAAGAAAUCGGUUUCACUGCCAUGGUGCAGUUCCUAGCACAAAGCUGCAGCUGACGCUCGCUGACAAGCACCUAUGCCAGAUGCUGCCCAGUGGACGCCCCCCCCCCCCCCCACCUCCGCCCACCCCCUAUCCCUUACAUCACAUGGCUCAAAGGACGCCUUCUAACAGCUGCCCCAGCUCCCGCCAAGUGCCUGCCCUCAACCUUGGGCCAUUCAGCCUUUCCAUUUUCUUAAACCACGCCCUCCAAGCAUGCUCUCACAGUCCUGAUUUCUAGGGACUGC